UACGGAGGGUGCAAGCGUUAUCCGGAAUCACUGGGUUUAAAGGGUGCGUAGGCGGCGGUAUAAGUCAGAGGUGAAAUCCUCCAGCUCAACUGGAGCACUGCCUUUGAUACUGUACGGCUUGAAUUAGGAUGAGGUCAGCGGAAUGUGGCAUGUAGCGGUGAAAUGCAUAGAUAUGCCAUAGAACACCAAUUGCGAAGGCAGCUGGCUAGACCUUAAUUGACGCUGAGGCACGAAAGCGUGGGGAGCGAACAGG
rnacentral:rRNA from 1 species